ensembl:lincRNA
GAGACAGCAAUACUAAUGUGUUGAAAAUGGAUGAGGGGAAAACUGUCCCGGAUUUUCAGGUGGUUCAUACAAAUGAGGGUAAGGAGGACAUCUUGUACAGCAGCAGUGACCAAAAUGAGGGUGAAAGCGGUCUACCAUAGAGUGGAAUAGCUAUAUAAUUCCUGACCUCAUACCAACACUAUAUAGAGGAGAAAGUAGGACAACUUUAGAAGUUUAUGAGAUGACAUGAAAAUGAGACAUGAAAACAACCCAGGUAGGUAACUUAACAUCUUGAAGUGUUAGAGCUGAAAAGGUUAA